GACGAACGCUGGCGGCGUGCCUAAUACAUGCAAGUCGAACGCAGUGGGGACGGGUGAGUAACACGUGGGUAACCUCCCAUCAGAGGGGAUAACACUUGGAAACAGGUGCUAAACCGAUACUGAUGGAUGGACCCGCGGUGCAUUAGCUAGUUGGUGAGGUAACGGCUCACCAAGGCCACGAUGCAUAGGCGACCUGGGGAGGGGAUCGGCCAACCUGGGGCGGAGGAACGGCCCAGAAUCCUACGGGAGGCAGCAGUAGGGAAUCUUCGGCAAUGGACGAAAGUCUGACCGAGCAACGCCGCGGGAGUGAAGAAGGUUUUCGGAUCGUAAAGCUCUGUUGUUAGAGGAGCGGUAACUAACCAGAAAGGGACGGCUAACUACGUGCCAGCAGCCGCGGUAAUAC
rnacentral:rRNA from 1 species